CAAGGUAAUUUCAUAGUCAUG
rnacentral:miRNA from 1 species